rnacentral:rRNA from 1 species
CCUACGGGAGGCAGCAGUGAGGAAUAUUGGUCAAUGGACGAGAGUCUGAACCAGCCAAGUAGCGUGAAGGAUGACUGCCCUAUGGGUUGUAAACUUCUUUUAUAUGGGAAUAAAACGUUCCACGUGUGGGAUUUUGUAUGUACCAUAUGAAUAAGGAUAGGCUAACUCCGUGCCAGCAGCCGCGGUAAUACGGAGGAUCCGAGCGUUAUCCGGAUUUAUUGGGUUUAAAGGGAGCGUAGGUGGAUUGUUAAGUCAGUUGUGAAAGUUUGCGGCUCAACCGUAAAAUUGCAGUUGAAACUGGCAGUCUUGAGUACAGGAGAGGUGGGCGGAAUUCGUGGUGUAGCGGUGAAAUGCUUAGAUAUCACGAAGAACUCCGAUUGCGAAGGCAGUUCACUGGACUGCAACUGACACUGAGGCUCGAAAGUGUGGGUAUCAAACAGGAUUAGAUACCCGGGUAGUC